UGAGUUCAGCCUGUUCAGAUCCUGCCUUCAGAGGCCAUUUGAGGAUAUUCUCAUCGAAUUUGUGUUCUAGGCCUACUUACAGAUAUGAUCAUCAGACAUCUGUAUUGACUGUAAAUAUUUUUAAAAGCACAUGCAGAAAUUGGAAAGUUGUGAAUAUUUUGCGCAACCUGACGCACAUCCCCUCAGCUGUAUUUGUAAAGAUAAAAUGCAGAAUGUCUGACUUUUUGCGCAUUUCUCAGCUGUGCUUUUUACGCACUGCCGCUCCUUGGUGUGUGCGCCUUUAAAAAGGUACGCGGUGCACCUUUCUUUGUGCCAGUGUGCAGUCUGGACGCGCAGGUAAAAGGGAGGAGGUUGAGUUUGGAGAGAGAGGGAACCGGUAGGAGAGGGGAGAGGACAGGAGCGCAGGGCUCCAGCUGACAUUUGAUACUCAGGAAGUUCAGGACGCCGCUUGGAUUUCUUUUGUUUCAUUGUAAUUCUGCAGUCCUGCUGCGGGCAACAAGGGCUGAAGGCUUGUGUUGCCUUAACACAACUUCUAAAUAGGAAAAGCUUAAAGUAAUAAGAAUAGAUGACGGACUAAAAUGUGUGGUGAGGCCGGCUUCAGUGCAGUUUGUAGACUCUGAUGUGAGGCGCGGCGAUGGACCCGGGGGAAGUGCCCCCUGUGGAGUUGGGCCACUGAAGCCCCGGCUACAUCCUUGUCAGCCGGCUGUGGAGGAUCAAUAGCUCUGCUGCUCUUCUGCCCACAGAGCUUCUCCCUCUGAACAUAUUGCCCCCAGGAUGAAGCACGAGCACUCACACUGCGGACCAACUGCCUAGAUUGGAUGGUUUUAAUGACAUCCAAUCAGGUUCAAAGUCAGUUGAUGGAUGGAGUAUGUGAUGAUUUGAAGAGUGCACUGCGGUGUGGUGCACAAUGAUGUAACUUGUAAUGGUGUCACGCAAUGCAGCACUGAGUCCAUGUAGAACGGAGCUCUGAGGCCUAGAAAAGGGCCUUGCAGGUGAAUUACAGAGCCUCAGCAGUAAAUACAGAUGUAUGCAUUCCCAUUCUGUAGAAAUGUAUGUUAUAUAAUGCAUUUAUUGUAUAUCAUGCAACUGUACAAAUUGUCAUUUUUAUAAUUAUGCAUGUAAAUAUGAAAAACAGUGUAUUUGGCAUUGAAUAAAAGCAAAUAUGAACUGAUGAUUAAUGAGACAAUUUCUUCUGAUGCAGUCUCUGAUGUACUUUUAUUUAUUUCUUAUUAUAUAAACUUCCAAGUCUGACUUUGUAUCUACCGUAACAUUUAGGAAAAUAUUUUACUUGUAUUUUAUCCCCAAACAUUUUUCUGCUGUACAGGGACAAGACAAAUGUAAGGCAUCUUUCAAAAUACACAAUGUAUACUGCUCAAAAUAAGAGAUAUUUUAUUUCAUUUUAUUUAUUGCAGUGAAAUUUAAUGCAAUGGAAAUAAACCUAAACCGUGCAUUUUUGUUAUUAAAACAAUUUAACAGCACAAAGACUGAAUGUGAAAGCAUC